GUUCGUGUCGUGGGAGAGCCUGUUCUUUCUCUGGAAAGAGCAGCGCCGAAGGAGCAACCGCCCCGGAAACUCUCAGGCGAAAGGACCUCGGCACGGUC
rnacentral:ncRNA from 2 species